rnacentral:rRNA from 1 species
AUGGGGCACCCACCAGUCCGGCGCACUCCUCAACCAGGACACCUGCCGGGUAUGAGGCCACCGCAGCCACCUGCCACCACUCCAUCUUCAGUACUGUACUGCUGCAUCUACCUUGCCCGGUCUAGCUGCCGUCGACGCCACCACGGCGCCAGACAACGCCACCAUCCUGCACGUAUCCAUCCACACGCGCCCGUCGCCGAAACUCCGCAGCGCCAUAUGCCGCCGGGAUCCGUCGUCGGCCUUGCGGCACCGCUCCUCCUCGUCCCCUCCAGCCAGCUCCUGCUCCAAAACGAUGCCCUCAGGAGGGAGCACGACAUCGAAGGCGCUCUCAUCGUCCGAUCCAGUAGACCCAGGUCUAGGGUUUCCUCCGGAACAUCCAGAUCAUGUUGA